rnacentral:rRNA from 1 species
UACGGGGGAGCAAGCGUUGUUCGGAUUUACUGGGCGUAAAGGGCGCGUAGGCGGCCACCGCAAGUCAGUUGUGAAAUCUCUGGGCUUAACCCAGAAAGGUCAACUGAUACUGCGGGGCUAGAGUGCAGAAGGGGCAACUGGAAUUCUCGGUGUAGCGGUGAAAUGCGUAGAUAUCGAGAGGAACACCUGCGGCGAAGGCGGGUUGCUGGGCUGACACUGACGCCGAAGCGCGAAAGCUAGGGGAGCGAACGGG